rnacentral:rRNA from 1 species
AAAGCGUGGGGAGCAAACAGGAUUAGAUACCCUGGUAGUCACGCCGUAAACGAUGUCGACUUGGAGGUUGUGCCCUUGAGGCGUGGCUUCCGGAGCUAACGCGUUAAGUCGACCGCCUGGGGAGUACGGCCGCAAGGUUAAAACUCAAAUGAAUUGACGGGGGCCCGCACAAGCGGUGGAGCAUGUGGUUUAAUUCGAUGCAACGCGAAGAACCUUACCUGGUCUUGACAUCCACGGAAGUUUUCAGAGAUGAGAAUGUGCCUUCGGGAACCGUGAGACAGGUGCUGCAUGGCUGUCGUCAGCUCGUGUUGUGAAAUGUUGGGUUAAGUCCCGCAACGAGCGCAACCCUUAUCCUUUGUUGCCAGCGGUCCGGCCGGGAACUCAAAGGAGACUGCCAGUGAUAAACUGGAGGAAGGUGGGGAUGACGUCAAGUCAUCAUGGCCCUUACGAGUAGGGCUACACACGUGCUACAAUGGCGCAUACAAAGAGAAGCGACCUCGCGAGAGCAAGCGGACCUCAUAAAGUGCGUCGUAGUCCGGAUUGGAGUCUGCAACUCGACUCCAUGAAGUCGGAAUCGCUAGUAAUCGUAGAUCAGAAUGCUACGGUGAAUACGUUCCCGGGCCUUGUACACACCGCCCGUCACACCAUGGGAGUGGGUUGCAAAAGAAGUAGGUAGCUUAACCUUCGGGAGGGCGCUUACCACUUUGUGAUUCAUGACUGGGGUGAAGUCGUAACAAGGUAACC